GACGAACGCUGGCGGCGUGCUUAACACAUGCAAGUCGAACGGAAAGGCCCUGCUUUUGUGGGGUGCUCGAGUGGCGAACGGGUGAGUAACACGUGAGUAACCUGCCCUUGACUUUGGGAUAACUUCAGGAAACUGGGGCUAAUACCGGAUAGGAGCUCCUGCUGCAUGGUGGGGGUUGGAAAGUUUCGGCGGUUGGGGAUGGACUCGCGGCUUAUCAGCUUGGUGGUGGGGUAGUGGCUUACCAAGGCAUUGACGGGUAGCCGGCCUGGGAGGGUGACCGGCCACAUUGGGACUGGGAUGCGGCCCAGACUCCUACGGGAGGCAGCAGUGGGGAAUAUUGCACAAUGGGCGGAAGCCUGAUGCAGCAACGCCGCGUGCGGGAUGACGGCCUUCGGGUUGUAAACCGCUUUCGCCUUUGACGAAGCGUGAGUGACGGUAAUGGGUAAAGAAGCACCGGCUAACUACGUG
rnacentral:rRNA from 1 species